AAGAAUUCAGUGGUUGAGAGGUUACUAUAUGUAAGUAAAUAUUCAGGAAACUGAAGCAUGAAGAUACGAAUUGAUGUGUCCAUUUCAUGAACUGAUGUGUCCAAGAUCUCAUAGCUAAAUAUCCUGCAAAUGCUAUUUCUAACAGAAGCAGAAGCCACAGGUGACAGGUUAUGCUUCAGGGUGUCAUUCUGCCACCCGGGCUGGAAUGAAGUGGCACAAUCAUGGCUCAUUGCAGCCUUGACCUCCCAGGCCCAGGCUCAAGCAACUCUCCCACCUCUGCCUCCUGAGUAGCUGAGGCUACAAUAUGCUCCAUCAUGCUCAGCUAAGGUUUUUUUUUUUGUAGAGACAGAAUCUUGUUACGUUGCCUAGGUUGGUAUCAAACUCCUGGACUCAAGCAAUUACCU
rnacentral:lncRNA from 1 species